GUCUGGGUGUGAGAGAAUCAGUGACACGAUGUGAUCAGCUUCCCAAGACAUCUGUUUUUUUUCUAUUUUUGGGGAAAGAACAUUAGACAGAAGCAUCCUAACCAAAUUCAUCUAUAAAUAGAGGCAUUGCAAGAUUGACUAUCACAAAAAAGAGAGAGUUAGUUUGAGAUUGAGGUAAUCUCGAUCAAGAUUUAAAGAAGAAUGACAAUGAUGAUGAUGCUAACUGGACAAAGCUUUUUAGAUGUGAUGGUAGCUGGGAUUUCUUUAAUGAUUGGUUUAGGAAUCUUUGGAUUCAUUGCUUCUGUUCUUUGUUCUGCUGCUUUUGUGUACCAUGCCAAGGAAGUAUCUUGAAAAAUCACAACAAGAGAGAAAAGAUGUAAAACAGUAUGUAAUGAAACAAGCAGCUGGAUAAAAACAACAACUAGUAGUAGCAUUAGUAGUAGAUCACCACGAGGAUUAAAUAAAUGGUUUUUUGUUUAGUAGGAAAAUAUUCUUCAAAUGGUUUAACCCAGAGACACUCUAUGGCAAUUAGCUCAUCAGCUAUCAAAGGCAAGAAAUGACCGAAAGAGAGAAAUAGUUAAAUUGUAAUGCAUAUGUAUCCUUUCUUGUAUUGCAACAAUGUUAUACUAUGUAUUGGCAAAGAGUUAAUAUGAACUGCAUGGAGUUUACUUUAUAUUA